rnacentral:SRP_RNA from 2 species
GCCAGGCAUGGUAGCACAUGCCUGUAAUCCCAGCUACUCGGGAGGCUGAGGUGGGAGAAUCACUUGAACCCAGGAGGCAGAGCGUGCAGUGAGCCGAAAUCGCACCACUGCACUCCAGCCUGGGUGACAGAGUGAGACUCCAUCUCAA